GCCCUUGUGAUGCAACUGGUAGACAUGCCGUGCUUAGAACGCGGUUGUUGUGGGUUCGACUCCCACCAAGGGUACCA
rnacentral:tRNA from 2 species